rnacentral:rRNA from 1 species
CCUACGGGAGGCUGCAGUCGAGAAUCUUUCACAAUGGGGGAAACCCUGAUGCUGCGACGCCGCGUGGGGGAAUAAAGGUCUUCGGAUUGUAAACCCCUGUCAUGUGGGAGCAAAUUUAAAAGAUAGUACCGCAAGAGGCAGAGACGGCUAACUCUGUGCCAGCAGCCGCGGUAAUACAGAGGUCUCAAGAGUUGUGCGGAAUCACUGGGCGUAAAGCGUGCGUAGGCGGUGUCGUAAGUCAGGUGUGAAAGGCGCGGGCUCAACCCGCGGACGGCAGAUGAUACUGGGAGACUAGAGUAAUGGAGGGGGAAGCGGAAUUCUGGGUGUAGCAGUGAAAUGCGUAGAUAUGGGGAGGAACACUCGUGGCGAAGGCGGAUUCCUGGACAGUAACUGACGCUGAGGCGCGAAGGCGAGGGGAGCGAAAAGGAUUAGAUACCCCAGUAGUC